rnacentral:rRNA from 1 species
AGAGUUUGAUCAUGGCUCAGGACGAACGCUGGCGGCGUGCUUAACACAUGCAAGUCGAACGGAAAGGCCCUUCGGGGUACUCGAGUGGCGAACGGGUGAGUAACACGUGGGUGAUCUGCCCUGCACUUUGGGAUAAGCCUGGGAAACUGGGUCUAAUACCGAAUAUGACCAUGCGCCUCCUGGUGUGUGGUGGAAAGCUUUUGCGGUGUGGGAUGGGCCCGCGGCCUAUCAGCUUGUUGGUGGGGUAAUGGCCUACCAAGGCGACGACGGGUAGCCGGCCUGAGAGGGUGACCGGCCACACUGGGACUGAGAUACGGCCCAGACUCCUACGGGAGGCAGCAGUGGGGAAUAUUGCACAAUGGGCGCAAGCCUGAUGCAGCGACGCCGCGUGAGGGAUGACGGCCUUCGGGUUGUAAACCUCUUUCAGCACAGACGAAGCGCAAGUGACGGUAUGUGCAGAAGAAGGACCGGCCAACUACGUGCCAGCAGCCGCGGUAAUACGUAGGGUCCGGGCGUUGUCCGGAAUUACUGGGCGUAAAGAGCUCGUAGGUGGUUUGUCACGUUGUUCGUGAAAACUCACAGCUUAACUGUGGGCGUGCGGGCGAUACGGGCAGACUUGAGUACUGCAGGGGAGACUGGAAUUCCUGGUGUAGCGGUGGAAUGCGCAGAUAUCAGGAGGAACUCCGGUGGCGAAGGCGGGUCUCUGGGCAGUAACUGACGCUGAGGAGCGAAAGCGUGGGGAGCGAACAGGAUUAGAUACCCCGGUAGUCC